GACGAACGCUGGCGGCGUGCCUAACACAUGCAAGUCGAACGAAGUAUGUUUUUCGGAAUAUACUUAGUGGCGGACGGGUGAGUAACGCGUGAACAAUCUGCCCUGUACAAAGGAAUAGCCUCGGGAAACUGGGAUUAAAACCGUAUAAUGCUUUUUUAUCACAUGAUAAGAAAGCCAAAAUGAUUAAGUGGUAUAGGAUGAGUUCGCGUCUGAUUAGCUAGUUGGUAAGGUAAUGGCUUACCAAGGCGACGAUCAGUAGCCGGCCUGAGAGGGUGAACGGCCACACUGGAACUGAGACACGGUCCAGACUCCUACGGGAGGCAGCAGUGGGGAAUAUUGCACAAUGGGCGAAAGCCUGAUGCAGCGACGCCGCGUGAGUGAAGAAGGUCUUCGGAUCGUAAAACUCUGUCCUUGGUGACGAAAAAAAUGACGGUAGCCAAGGAGGAAGCCCCGGCUAACUACGUG
rnacentral:rRNA from 1 species